rnacentral:rRNA from 1 species
UGGGGAAUAUUGCACAAUGGGCGCAAGCCUGAUGCAGCCAUGCCGCGUGUGUGAAGAAGGCCUUCGGGUUGUAAAGCACUUUCAGCGAGGAGGAAGGGUAGUGUGUUAAUAGCACAUUGCAUUGACGUUACUCGCAGAAGAAGCACCGGCUAACUCCGUGCCAGCAGCCGCGGUAAUACGGAGGGUGCAAGCGUUAAUCGGAAUUACUGGACGUAAAGCGCACGCAGGCGGUUUGUUAAGUCAGAUGUGAAAUCCCCGCGCUUAACGUGGGAACUGCAUUUGAAACUGGCAAGCUAGAGUCUUGUAGAGGGGGGUAGAAUUCCAGGUGUAGCGGUGAAAUGCGUAGAGAUCUGGAGGAAUACCGGUGGCGAAGGCGGCCCCCUGGACAAAGACUGACGCUCAGGUGCGAAAGCGUGGGGAGCAAACA